ACAGGUAUGAUGAAAUUGGUAAACAUAUUAGACUUAGAUUCUAACACUUCUCAAAGAAAUGAGGGUUCGAGUCCCUCUACCUGUA
rnacentral:tRNA from 1 species